rnacentral:rRNA from 1 species
UACGUAGGGGGCUAGCGUUGUCCGGAUUUAUUGGGCGUAAAGAGCGUGUAGGCGGCCAGAUAGGUCUGCUGUGAAAACUCGAGGCUCAACCUCGAGAUGUCGGCGGAAACCAUUUGGCUAGAGUCCGGAAGAGGAAAGUGGAAUUCCUGGUGUAGCGGUGAAAUGCGCAGAUAUCAGGAAGAACACCGUGGCGAAGGCAGCUUCGUGGGACGUACUGACGCUGAGACGCGAAAGCGUGGGGAGCAAACAGG